UUGUGCUGCAUCUGCGUGUGAUUUCUUUUUUGUGAGCAUGCGUGCCUUUUUUUUGCAAAGCACAGUUGCAGUGAGUUCACCUGGUCUCACAUAACAGUCACACAGAGGCAGGGGCCGGACGGCGGUUACAACAGUGGCCUGGAAGAUGUAAACUCAUGGGUCAUCAGACAGCCCUGCACCGGGCAGCUGUUGUGGGAAACCAUGACGCCAUCUCUGCCCUCAUCCAUGGAGGCUGUGCACUUGAUUUACAAGACAAGGAAGGAAACACUGCUUUGCAUGAGGUAUCAUGGCAUGGAUUCAGUUCAUGUGUAAAGCUACUGGUCAAAGCUGGGGCAAAUGUCCAAGUGAAGAACAAAGUAAGACAUUUUCAUGUGCAUUAUUUUCCAUUUACUUUGAGAUUAAACCAGAUUUUUUUUAUAAUAUAUAAAUAUAUCUAUAACAUUUCUUACAAAAGAAGU